AUUGAACGCUGGCGGCAGGCCUAACACAUGCAAGUCGAGCGGAGCGGCGGACGGGUGAGUAAUGCCUAGGACUCUGCCUGGUCGUGAGGGAUAACGACCGGAAACGGGCGCUGAUACCGAAUCCUCUUACAUGCACCUAGGGCGGAUUAGCUAGAGGGGGGGGUAAAGGCCUACCAAGGCGACGAUCCGUAACUGGUCUGAGAGGAUGAUCAGUCACACUGGAACUGAGACACGGUCCAGACUCCUACGGGAGGCAGCAGUGGGGAAUAUUGGACAAUGGGCGAAAGCCUGAUGCAGCCAUGCCGCGUGUGUGAAGAAGGUCUUCGGGUUGUAAAGCACUUUCAGUUGGGAGGCGUUACUCGCAGAAUAAGCACCGGCUAACUUCGUGCCAGCAGCCGCGGUAAUUC
rnacentral:rRNA from 1 species